rnacentral:rRNA from 1 species
GAUAACUGAGGUAAUUCUUGAGCUAAUACAUGCGAAAAAUCCCGACUCACGAAGGGAUGCUUUUAUUAGAUCAAAACCAAACAGCUUCGGCUGUAACACUGGUGACUCUGAAUAACUUUGGGCUGAUCGCAUUGCCUUGAGCAGGCGACAUUUCCUUCGAAGGUGUGCCCUAUCAACUGUCGACUGUGAUAUAGACGCUCACAGUGGUUUUGACGGGUAACGGGGAAUCAGGGUUCGAUUCCGGAGAGGGAGCCUUAAAAACGGCUACCACAUCCAAGGAAGGCAGCAGGCACGCAAAUUACCCAAUGAACGAAGUUCGAGGUAGUGACGAAAAAUAACAAUACAAGACUCAUCCGAGGCCUUGUAAUUGGAAUGAGUACACUUUAAAACCGUUUCACGAGGAUCUAUUGGAGGGCAAGUCUGGUGCCAGCAGCCGCGGUAAUUCCAGCUCCAAUAGCGUAUAUUAAAGUUGUUGUGGUUAAAAAGCUCGUAGUUGGAUUUCGGCGGGUAUUGGUUGGUUUGAAUUGCUUCAACACUGACUUUUUUACCCGUGUGUUUUGCCAGAAUUUAGCGGGUGAUCUUCGCCGAUUGUCCGUUGGAACUGGUAGGUUUACUUUGAAAAAAUUAGAGUGCUCAAAGCAAGCUUACUACUUGAAUAGUUGCGCAUGGAAUAAUAGAAUAGGAAGUCGUUUCUAUUUUGUUGGUUUUCGGAAAUCGACUUAAUGAUUAAUAGGGAUAGUCGGGGGCAUUCGUAUUCAAACGACAGAGGUGAAAUUCUUGGACCGUUUGAAGACGACUACGCGAAAGCAUUUGCCAAGAAUGUUUUCAUUAAUCANAACGAAAGUUAGAGGUUCGAAGCGAUUAGAUACCGCCCUANUUCUAACCAUAACGAUGCA